rnacentral:lncRNA from 1 species
GAUGCAGUGGCAGGGCUAUGCCCUGGGCUGGCUGACAUCCCACCUGGGCUGGGGAUCCUCUGAGGCAAAGCUCUGCACUGACGCCUUAAAUAACGGCUGAUUACUCUUCCUUCUGACUCCGUGACCUGAGAUUACCUCGGAGAUGAUGGCUGGCUGUGUCUGAAAGAUGUAGAUUGUCCUUAAGCUAAAUAAUUACGGACACUUGGUGGUGCGGACUGUGGGCCGUGGGAGCCCAGGAUGGGUGUUCCCGGUGCUCCCUGAGGGAGGUUGUGGAUCCUCGGCACUUUUCGGAUCGCGGCCGCCGCUCUCUCCCCCGUGGCUGCUGAUGCUGUGAGCAGGCGUGGACCGAUCCCGAGCGGGCCCUGGGGAACGAGGCGCCCGGCCCCUUCCUGGCCGCUGCUCCGAUCAGGAAGGGCAGGGCUGAUUCUCUCACUAUUUACAGCGUACUUGACAAGUGCAAGUAAAUGUGCUGUCAACAAAAGCAAACUGCGUGUAAUCGAGAGAUGAUUGAAACCAGGGCUGGAGUGGCGGGGGAGGGUUCUGCACCAGGACUGCCCCAGAGGAUGCGCAGGCGGGGGGCAGGGAGCGGCCCCGUGCUUCCUCUCUGUCUUCCUCACCCGUG